CCAGAGCAGCAGAGGCCGUGAGGGGCCCUGCGGGGCCAUGAGGGCGCGCGGCUUUCUUGAAAACAGAGCAGCCUCUGCUCACCCUGCAGGCGCUCUGGAGCUGCAGGAGGCCAUUUCUAGAAGGCACCGGAUUCGGCCUAAAGAGUUGAAGGCCAUAGCCCUUCUUUGAGGAAUUCCGGGUCUGGUGGAGAAGCAGACCACGUGUACUUGACCACCACACACCUGUGUGAGCAGCAGCUCAGGAAGGAACACGGGGGCCAGCGAUCCCCCUCAGACGUAAGCACCCAAUUGACAUGGCACUGAAGGAAGAAUGUAGAGGAUCCACAGUGUGCUUUGAUGGGAAG
rnacentral:lncRNA from 1 species